GUGGGAGUGGGGAAAUGGAUCUGUGAGUGAGAGCUCUCGGAAGGAAUGCUGAAACGAUUCUGCAUGGAGAACCUCGUGUUCAGGUGCCUGGGGGCUGCUCUGCUGGAAUUCAAAUGCUGUUAAAAUAAGGGCAAAGAAAAGGUCAAGAUUCUGUGGCCAGUCCUUCACUAAGAGUGAAAGAGCUUCAGCUGGGAAGAAAAGGCCCAUUUCUGCAGUAUAAAACCUCCCAUCCAUCCUGUUCCCUCCAGCCUGGCUUCCAUCACAGGGAAUGUUUAUUCUGAAAAGUCCUCAUGGCACAGUCAGAGUCUGCUCUGACCCCUGGCUGCAGCUGAGAGCUCAGGCAGCCACCCUGGGUCUGGAUCCUGCCAGGGCUGCUGUGCUGCUCCUGGGGGCACAGCCAGGGCCAAAAUCUGCAGCUUUUAAAGCUGGGCGUGCAGGGAGCUGUGGAGAGACACCGUGAGGACUGUGUGCAUGAGCUCCUGAGCCACUGCUAAAACCAGCAUCAUCUGCCAGACAUGUGCCCCGCUCAAGCUGUGCAGGGUUUGAAAGGUUUGGGUCUCAGCACUGGUAGGUCUCUGCAGGGCCCAGUCUAAGCUGACAGAUUAGCUGGCUCUGUAAGCAAAAUAAUAAUGAAUGUAAUUCUGUGUAAUUUCCAACUU